rnacentral:rRNA from 1 species
GAGUGGCGAACGGGUGAGUAACACGUGGAGAACCUGCCCAUAAGAGGGGGAUAACAUCCGGAAACGGGUGCUAAUACCGCAUAAGUACUGGACACGCAUGUGUCUUGUAUAAAAGACGGCUUCGGCUGUCGCUUAUGGAUGGCUCCGCGGCGUAUUAGCUAGUUGGUGAGGUAAUGGCUCACCAAGGCAGUGAUACGUAGCCGACCUGAGAGGGUGAUCGGCCACACUGGGACUGAGACACGGCCCAGACUCCUACGGGAGGCAGCAGUAGGGAAUCUUCCACAAUGGGCGCAAGCCUGAUGGAGCAAUGCCGCGUGAAUGAAGAAGGUCUUCGGAUCGUAAAGUUCUGUUAUCGGAGAAGAACACGUCGAGUAGUAACUGGCUCGACCUUGACGGUAUCCGACCAGAAAGUCACGGCUAACUACGUGCCAGCAGCCGCGGUAAUACGUAGGUGACAAGCGUUGUCCGGAUUUAUUGGGCGUAAAGCGAGCGCAGGCGGUCUUUUAAGUCUGAUGUGAAAGCCCACGGCUCAACC